AUCUCCUUCUCUUGCUCAUCACCUCGCAGCAUCCUCUCAACUCUUCCACCACCUCCAAAAUCCACCAUUUCAGCUAUGAUCUCUGUCUGAAAGCGACUGUUGACCAGAUAAUUCACAGAGAGGUGAAGAUGCAUUGAGAUGCUGUCAACAAUUCUCUGCAAGACGAUAGGCCAGUAGGCUGCAAUCCUCAUCUUCAUUCCAAACGUCUUUUGCAGUAAAUGAGCGUGAUACUUGCGUAUAUGCAUCAUAACAAACAAAGCAGCAAUUUAAUAAUUCUAGUUGACCUAGUAAACAGUAGUAAUAAGCAAACUACCAGUUUCAAGUCGUCUAGAGACCUAUCCAGAUAGUUAGUCAUAGAUACCAAAGGAGAGAAAAACCUGAUACAAUUCUGGACUUGUGAGCUUCAGAGAAGUAGACCAAAAUUAAGUAUGUAAUCCCAUGUCUUCAUGAGAAGAGAAAAAUUACAUGUGAUUGAUAGGCAAAGCAAAAAAAUAUUAACUUGACAACACACGAUAUAUAAAAUAGAGCCAAUAAGAGAAACUUACUUGCAAGGGUCAGCUCACGAGUGUAUUCUCAAACAAUGGAGGAAAACUUCUGAAUUUAGGAAAAAGAACCUGAAAGAACAUAGCAAAGUGAGCAGCACACAUCAGAACAUUUCAAUCUAAACCAGUUCUGACAGGUUCUACACACAAUAACAAUCAAAAAGUAAUAGAUCUUCAUUACAAUGAUAACCUAAAUGAUCUCGGUCUCAUAUAAUCAAACUCUGGCGAGACUGACCAUCAAUAUUUUCCCUCCUCAAACAAAAUAUGGAAAGUGAAAUGGAAUCAAAGCAGAGUUUAAAGAGUACAUACUUUAAGCUGAUAAUAGAUCACUACAAUUGGUCAUUGGUAGAAAAAUAUAGGCAACGUCCUCAGUGAUCAGAUAAAACUAACAUCGAAAUCAUUAUGGAAGUACCUAAGGCAAGAGUGGAUGUAUUGUUUCCCUUUAGUGGCUUCAUCUAGAUCUGCAAAUUCAUACAACACAAGAAAAGCAGUUCUAAGUUGAUUGUUCAUUUAUAAACAGAAAACUGAAUCUAUUGCUUUAAGGCCUUAAUAAGAGUGCUGUUUUUAAUCUUACCGGUUUCCUGAAAGCGUCUUGCAACAUCUCCAAAGCAACUCAUAUGAUCAACUGGGCUUCCAGACUUCCCGUAGACUAUAACACCAUCAAAGAGCCCUCAUUAGCUACGCAAAUAAGCCAUCAUGUGAAAAAAGAAACAGCUUCUAGAUCACAAACAGAACAAAAGCAACAGACUUGUCAAUGUUUUCAUGGUGGACUUCUCAAGAAUCACGCUGCCUAGUCCAGCUGUUAAAUGAUAAACAGCCAAAAGUUUUAUAUAGAGUAAUGCAUAUAAAUAUGCCUGCUUCUAACAAAUUACACUUGCAACAAAACAACUCUCAUGGAAAAUAAGAAACCAAGAAUAUUGAUACAGUUGGAACCUUUUCAAAUUAAAAGUAAAGAGAUGAUCGGAAUAAGACUUUCAACCUACCUAGAGAAAUAGUGCUGAAAAUCAUGUUUUUCUAGAGAAUCCUUUUUUCUUCCAAUCCAGCUUAUCAAUCCCUAAAUCCAUAGAACACUCAAUAUUAAAAAGUAGUCAUUAAUCGUACCUCUGAAUAUUAUCUUGCCGCUAAUGAAUUACCUCUACUACUUCAUAUAAAGGUUGAUAUAUCAUUGGCUGGGGCACGCUCAUCUGUUCCAGUUCACUCUGCAAUUCUGUAUAACAUAAAGCCACAUUAGUAAAGUAAAAGUCAGUGAACAGAACCAUGAAUAAUGCAGAGAUGGUUUGAGUUUUAUAUACUGAAAAGAGUCUCUUCGUCCAAGUUAACGCUUCCUGCUUCACGAGCAAUGUCUUCCAUAUUGCUAUGUACAGAGGAAGUGUUUAGUCCAUGGACUUAACCACCAACAUCAGAAACUUGUUGCCAACUAAUGUUUCAUAUAUAAGUGCAAAUAUAUUAAACCUACACAAAAGGUUAUGAAGCUUACUGUGCUUCAUCAAAUAUUAUAAUCGCUCCUUUCAGAUCUACUUCAACUCCUGCUCGAAUGACAGGAUUAACUAUGUAUGAAUAAGGGAAAAAAACCAGUUCUGCAUUCUCCGCCAAUGACCAGGCAGCAUAAUAUGGACAGCCUACAAAAAGAUUAUCUGAGAUUAAGAAAUAGAAAAGUAAAACAAACUAAAACUAAAAAUGAAACCAAAUCUCACCUCUAACACUUUUCCCAACUUUGACAAACUCUUCAAUAUCGUGAACUUCAUUAAAACCUCUCUACUGAAGUGAAGGGUGAGAUGUGAUUUUACUAACGUCAUAUUAAAAAAUAAAAAAAUACCACACCAACAAUUAAUCAGAGGGACUAAAUCGUUACCACAGUGGAACUGGAUCUUAACUAACAGAAAUCUAGCAAUUUUUAGGAAGUUGAUGGGUCAGUGGAAUUGAUUCGUAAAAAAAUAAAAAGAGGAAGUCAAUGUCAUACCUGCUCAUCGAUCAGAAGGAGUUCUACGACGAUUAGUGGUUUCAGCCGCUCUUACUGCUAGGUUUCGAUCUUGAUAGGAUUUAGGAUUAGACGAAGCCAUUUAUAUUGGAGGAGGAUGAACGGAAGUUGGAAUGAAACCAACCAGAAGGUAUAAAAAGCAUCAUUGAUUAAUAGGGGGUUACAGAGAUGGAAGAUAGAGCGAUUACAGAGAAUGGAGAAGUUGAAGAUGAAUUGGAAUUGGAAUUGGAAUUGUCGGGCUCGACUUGCCACGAUAAAUUUUUUGGAAACCACACCGAAGCCCAUUUUAUCUAGACAACUCUGUUCUGACGUGGCAAAAAAAAAAUGUUUUUAUUGGUUGAUUUUUUGAUCCCACGUGGCAUGCUUCUCCAAGGCUUAUAUUGUGCUUUUAGUAUUGUAUUACACUUGCAACAAAACAACUCUCAUGGAAAAUAAGAAACCAAGAAUAUUGAUACAGUUGCAAGUUUUAAAAAAUAACCAAAAUACCGUUUAUGUAACGAUUUUUUCACGAUUUCUGCAUUUUUAUAUAUUAUUUUAAAUAACCAUUUAAUAUAUAUUAUUCUAUUUUAAAAUUCAGAUUUGAAUAUAUCCAAAUUUGAAAACGAUUUCAAAUAUUUUUUAGAUCUCGUUUUAUAUCACUCGAAUAUUUCUCUAUAGCAUAACUUUUUAUGCGUUAAAUGUUGAUAUACAUUUUAGAAAAUAUUGUUGAGAAUAGAAAAAUAAUACUAUCUUAAAUGUUUACAGAUAGCUGGUAUUUAUGUAUUCUGAUUCAAAAAAUUUAACUGUUUAAAUUUCGGUUCAGUUUAUUACGAUUAUUGAACGGUUCAGUUUCUUAUGAUUGUUGAUUUGUUCAUGUGUUGCAGAGAUGGGGAUAACGAUCUUGGAGGGGGAGCUGACGACAAAUGCUUCAAAUCUUGCCAAUAACCAGUCUUCAAAAUAAAAUGAACUAAACCGGUAUUAUGAUCUACGAAAAACAUGACAAAUGCCAUAACUCAAAUUAACAUGUUUAGAUAAUAAAUAUGGUAUGACCGGUUACUAAAUGUAUAACUGUUAGCAAUUUCACCGGUUUAAUAAAAUAAACACGAGAAUCAAAUAAUCUUAAGCAUUGUUCAAUAGUUUUCAAAGGAAAUAUUAAUGUUAUUUCUUUCUUUUUUUUUCAACUAUAAAAUGUUAUAUCUUUUGUACUUCAAAUUUUAAUAAGAUGGAUAAAUAUAUGUCCGGAAUUGCAUUUCCACAUUAUCACCUACUAAAAUAAGUCGCUGAAUUUCCCUUUUGGUUCAGUACAAAACUUUGGAAUAAAUAAACUGUUUCCUUUAGGUUUGAAUCAAAUUUGGUUUGGUUUUGUUGAGUUUUUGUCUGUUGUGGGAUCGGUUGGUUUGGUUUGGUUUUUAUUUAAACUUCACAACGCUAGGAGGUGAGCAAGUUCUAUUUGUUUUUUUUUUGUUUUGCUAAACAAAUAAUUCUUACAAUAAUGAGAACUUCAAUUAUUGCACGUAAACUAUACCAUCGUGUUUGAAUCAUUGUUAUCUCCUUGCAAAGAUUGAUAACGCAAUCACUUCCUAAAAUAAAGGAAAAAAAAGACAUCAGAAAACCAAUCAAACCGAAGCCACUCAUAACACAAACUUUACGAAAACCGAAGCCAAUUUUGUUUUAACCAAGAGGAAUGGCUAAACGACCUCAACACUAUCCUUCAAGAGACCGAUACGGCUCUUCAUUAUCUCCUUCUCUUGCUCAUCACCUCGCAGCAUCCUCUCAACUCUUCCACCACCUCCAAAAUCCACCAUUUCAGCUAUGAUCUCUGUCUGAAAGCGACUGUUGACCAGAUAAUUCACAGAGAGGUGAAGAUGCAUUGAGAUGCUGUCAACAAUUCUCUGCAAGACGAUAGGCCAGUAGGCUGCAAUCCUCAUCUUCAUUCCAAACGUCUUUUGCAGUAAAUGAGCGUGAUACUUGCGUAUAUGCAUC
rnacentral:lncRNA from 1 species